UGGGGAAUAUUGGACAAUGGGCGAAAGCCUGAUCCAGCCAUGCGGCGUGUGUGAAGAAGGUCUUCGGAUUGUAAAGCACUUUAAGUUGGGAGGAAGGGCAGUAAGCGAAUACCUUGCUGUUUUGACGUUACCGACAGAAUAAGCACCGGCUAACUCUGUGCCAGCAGCCGCGGUAAUACAGAGGGUGCAAGCGUUAAUCGGAAUUACUGGGCGUAAAGCGCGCGUAGGUGGUUCGUUAAGUUGAAUGUGAAAGCCCCGGGCUCAACAUGGGAACUGCAUCCAAAACUGGCGAGCUAGAGUAGGGCAGAGGGUGGUGGAAUUUCCUGUGUAGCGGUGAAAUGCGUAGAUAUAGGAAGGAACACCAGUGGCGAAGGCGACCACCUGGGCUCAUACUGACACUGAGGUGCGAAAGAGUGGGGAGCAAACAGG
rnacentral:rRNA from 1 species